rnacentral:rRNA from 1 species
ACGCUCGACACCUACGGGAGGCAGCAGUGGGGAAUAUUGCACAAUGGGGGAAACCCUGAUGCAGCGACGCCGCGUGAGUGAAGAAGUAAUUCGUUAUGUAAAGCUCUAUCAGCAGGGAAGAAAGUGACGGUACCUGAGUAAGAAGCCCCGGCUAACUACGUGCAAGCAGCCGCGGUAAUCUGAGCGGGCUGGCAAGGC